AUUUAACGCUGGCGGCAGGCCUAACACAUGCAAGUCGAACGAGUGGCGGACGUGUGAGUAAUGUCUUGGAAACUGCCUGAUGGAGGGGGAUAACUACUGGAAACGGUAGCUAAUACCGCAUACCAUCAGAUGUGCCCAGAUGGGAUUAGCUUGUUGGUGGGGGAACGGCUCACCAGGGCGACGAUACCUAGCUGGUGUGAAAGGAUGACAAGCCACACAGGAACUGAGACACGGUCCAGACUCCUACGGGAGGCAGCAGUGGGGAAUAUGGCACAAUGGGCGCAAGCCUGAUGCAGCAAUGCCGCGUGUAUGAAGAAGGCCUUCGGGUUGUAAAGUACUUUCAGCGGGGAGGCGUUACCCGAAGAAGAAGCACCGGCUAACUCCGUGCCAGCAGCCGCGGUAAUUC
rnacentral:rRNA from 1 species